rnacentral:rRNA from 1 species
UACAGAGGGUGCGAGCGUUAAUCGGAAUUACUGGGCGUAAAGCGUGCGUAGACGGUUAUUUAAGUCGGGUGUGAAAGCCCCGGGCUCAACCUGGGAAUUGCAUUCGAGACUGAAUAGCUAGGGUACGGUAGAGGGAAGUGGAAUUUCCGGUGUAGCGGUGAAAUGCGUAGAUAUCGGAAGGAACAUCAGUGGCGAAAGCGACUUCCUGGACCAGUACCGACGUCAGGCACGAAAGCGUGGGGAGCAAACGGG